UCGACGUCUUUAAGAUAUAGUGUCUAAAAGACGGCGAAAAGACGUUUUAUGUCCCGAUUUUGAACAUGUGUGCUGUCUGGGAUAUGUCACAAAAUCAGUUCCGUGUGCGCUCGGGACCACUCGACUGUCCCGAGCGCACACGGACACGAUACGUAGCUUAUGUGCGUCAUCCCCUCCACGUGCUAGAACGUGCGGCUAGAAUCUGGCACGUGCAUGCUACCAAGCAGAGAUGAAGAUCGCGCGGGCUCACGCCUCACCGUAGUGGAGAGGAUGAACGCGCAAGCUGUGUUCGGAAACAUCACCCGAGUGUCCCAGUGUAUCAUUUUUCCUUGUUGUUCAGCGAAUGAACAACAAGGAUAAAAUGAUACACUGGGGCACUCGGGUAAUGUUUCCGAACACAGUCCAAGCGGCGCAAGCGAGAACCGCGUACGUGUGCGCUCCGCUGAUUGGUUCAUCGCUUGUGUGCGUCAUCCCCUCCCCUACGGUGAGGCGUGAGCCGCGGCCGCGAUCUGGCAUCUCUGUACCAAAGCUCAGUUUCUGGCAUCGAUACUUCGCGAUCCUUUAAGACUUUUUAAGUUAUUGUCAAGGCAAGAGUGCUGAAGAAACUCAAAGACUGAUAUGUGAGAUGUAUCGAGAAAAUACUCUGUCUAUCGAUGACUGUGAGAAACGUUUUGACGAGUUUAAGUCAAGUCGUGCCGUCAAGCUACGUGAUAUAAGGAUCAGCAGAUUGAGUGCAAUGCUUAAGGAAAAUCCGAACCUAACGCAAAGAGAGCUUGCACGACAGCUUGGAAUGUGUCGAUCAACAGUAAGCAAGUACUUGAAGAGAAUAAAUGCGAAGCAGCAGAAAAAGAAAGAAUUAUUUGAUAAACAGGUGACUGCAGUUGCAGUUUGGCUCUUGGACAAUAAUCAAAAGAUGUCUCGGUACAGCGCACACCUAACAAAUCUGCUUGAAGCGUACCACGAGCAGCAGCUGCUUCCUUUUUACUUGGAGAAUUACAAAGCUUGCGAUCAGUAUUUCAAGACAUCUAGUGUAAUAUAAUAAUUUUUGUUUUAUUGUUCCACAGCCAUUUCUAGAGGAACGUUGCUUCAGGUCUAAAGCUUUGAUGGAGAUCAGGAAAUUGAUUUCAGAUCAGGCAACAACUGAUUGAUGAAAUUGAUUAAAGCAUGCCGAAUUUAGCAAUUGAUAUCAAGAAAGACAACGUAAAUGUCACAGUGUUUGUACGUGUUCAAGCGUGUUGCUGUGAUCAAUUUAAACAGUAGACUUUAUAAACAUAUCAAAUUCAACAUUAACAAUUACCUAGAUGGCCGUUCAAAGUUAAGACCUGAAUUACAGUUUUAAUAAAAUUGAUUAUAUUUUUUUAUUUUGUAUUCGACAGAGAUUAAAAAUCAUAAGUUGUUUUUUGAAAUUGCUGAGAUUAAUUUAAGUAAAAGAUUGAUAAUUAUAUGUAUCAAAUUCACAAUAGUUACUUAGAUAGCCGUUUAAAGCUGAGAACUAAAUUACAGUUUUAUAAAAAUUUAUUAUAUUUUGUGUUUUGUAUUCAACAAAAA